ACGGUCCUAAGGUAGCGAAAUUCCUUGUCGGGUAAGUUCCGACCUGCACGAAUGGCAUAAUGAUGGCCAGGCUGUCUCCACCCGAGACUCAGUGAAAUUGAAAUCGCCGUGAAGAUGCGGUGUACCCGCGGCUAGACGGAAAGACCCCGUGAACCUUUACUAUAGCUUGACACUGAACAUUGAAUUUUGAUGUGUAGGAUAGGUGGGAGACUUUGAAGUAGUCACGCCAGUGAUUAUGGAGUCGUCCUUGAAAUACCACCCUUUAACGUUUGAUGUUCUAACGAAGAUUACGAAACGUGGUCUCGGACAGUGUCUGGUGGGUAGUUUGACUGGGGCGGUCUCCUCCCAAAGAGUAACGGAGGAGCACGAAGGUUUGCUAAUGACGGUCGGACAUCGUCAGGUUAGUGCAAUGGUAUAAGCAAGCUUAACUGCGAGACAGACAAGUCGAGCAGGUACGAAAGUAGGUCAUAGUGAUCCGGUGGUUCCGCAUGGAAGGGCCAUCGCUCAAAGGAUAAAAGGUACUCCGGGGAUAACAGGCUGAUACCGCCCAAGAGUUCAUAUCGACGGCGGUGUUUGGCACCUCGAUGUCGGCUCAUCACAUCCUGGGGCUGAAGUAGGUCCCAAGGGUAUGGCUGUUCGCCAUUUAAAGUGGUACGCGAGCUGGGUUUAGAACGUCGUGAGACAGUUCGGUCCCUAUCUGCCGUGGGCGUUGGAGAAUUGAUUGGGGCUGCUCCUAGUACGAGAGGACCGGAGUGGACGCACCACUGGUGUUCCGGUUGUGUCGCCAGACGCAUUGCCGGGUAGCUAAGUGCGGAAGAGAUAAGUGCUGAAAGCAUCUAAGCACGAAACUUGCCAAGAGAUGAGUUCUCCCUGUCUUUAAGACAGUAAGGGUUGUUUAAGACUAAGACGUAGAUAGGUCUGGUGUGUAAGCGGUGCGAGCCGUUGAGCUAACAGAUACUAAUUGCCCGAGAGGCUUAACUAU
rnacentral:rRNA from 1 species